GACGAACCGUGCGAACGUUGUUCGGAAUCACUGGGCUUAAAGGGCGCGUAGGCGGUCAGCACAAGUCAGUUGUGAAAUCUCCGGGCUUAACUCGGAAAGGUCAACUGAUACUGUGCGACUAGAGUGCAGAAGGGGCAACUGGAAUUCUCGGUGUAGCGGUGAAAUGCGUAGAUAUCGAGAGGAACACCUGCGGCGAAGGCGGGUUGCUGGGCUGACACUGACGCUGAGGCGCGAAAGCUAGGGGAGCGAACGGG
rnacentral:rRNA from 1 species